GGCAUUGUGGCCUAAUGGUAAGGCGUUGCUUUCCGGUUACGGGAAAUGGCAAAGAUUGUGGGUUCGAGUCCCAUCAGUGGUU
rfam:Pseudocercospora fijiensis CIRAD86 unplaced genomic scaffold MYCFIscaffold_1, whole genome shotgun sequence.